rnacentral:tRNA from 1 species
GCGAAAUUAACUCAUCGGUUAGAGUGGCGAUCUUAUAAAUCGCUGGUAGUUGGUUCGACUCCAACAUUUCGCA